rnacentral:piRNA from 1 species
UCCUUCCUUUUGGAUGGUAGAACUGCCUA